UCUAAUGAAAAGAAAAAAGCAGACAGGGUGAUGUAUGGUUUUGGGGGCUAGAUCAUAAAAGGCACUGUGGCCUCACUCACUCAUCCUCUCUGAAAUUGCUCACUCCGGGUGGGGUGAACUGACGUGUAAUGAGUGGCCUUAUGAUACAGCCCACCUAAUGGAAAACUGAAUAAUGAAGAAUGGAGGCCUCCAGCCAACAGCCAAAACCAGUGAGCCAUCUGGAAUGGACUCGUCCAGUCCCCCACAACUCCAUGAGACCCGGAAUCAUCUAAUGAGGAAACCGAUGCUUAUGGAAGUGAAAUCACUUCCUGAAAGUCCUCCUGCUGCCCAGUGGUGGUGCCAGGAAUGGGCCAGUUAUCAGGAAGGGCUAUGAUGGGCCUCGGAAAGCUUUCUCAGCUGGAAAGAGUUGACCACAGUAAACCACAAGGGCUUUGGAAAGUUCUCUGCUCAACAACAGUGUGUAGGGCAACCAAGACUCUGUGUAACUGAUGGGAAAGAUUUGAUGGCUCGAUUUCAGUGGUUUGUUUGUUUUUUAAUGAAUGAAAUUGCCUUUUGAGGGUGCUAUGGAAA